rnacentral:rRNA from 1 species
CUCUAGAGGAGAUAAGAGUGUCCUGGGGCGAGCGCGGACGGGGAGUAUGUCUGGGAAACCUCCUGAUGGAGGGGGAUACUCUGGAAACGGUAGCUAAUCCGCAAAUAACGUCGCAAAAGACCAAAGUGGGGGACCUUCGGGCCUAAUGCCAUCAGAUGUGCCCAGAUGGGAUUAGCUAGUAGGUGGGGCUAAUGGCCUCACCUAGGCGACGGAUCCUAGCUGGUCUGAGAGGAUGACCAGCCACACUGGAACUGAGACACGGGUCCAGACUCCUUCGGGAGGCAGCAGUGGGGAAUAUUGCACAAUGGGCGCAAGCCUGAUGCAGCCAUGCCGCGUGUAUGAGAAGCCCUUCGGGUUGUAAAGUACUUUCAGCGAGGAGGAAGGCGUAAGGUUAAUAACCUUGGCGAUUGACGUUACUCGCAGAAGAAGCACCGGCUAACUCCGUGCCAGCAGCCGCGGUAAUACGGAGGGUGCAAGCGUAAUCGAAUUACUGGGCGUAAAGCGCACGCAGGCGGUCUGUCAAGUCGGAUGUGAAAUCCCCGGGCUCAACCUGGAACUGCAUUCGAAACUGGCAGGCUAGAGUCUUGUAGAGGGGGGAGAAUUCCAGGUGUAGCGGUGAAAUGCGUAGAGAUCUGGAGGAAUACCGGUGGCGAAGGCGGCCCCCUGGACAAAGACUGACGCUCAGGUGCGAAAGCGUGGGGAGCAAACAGGAUUAAGAUACCCUGGUAGGUCCACGCCGUAAACGAUGUCGACUUGAUGGUUGUGCCCUUAAGCGGCUUCCUACCUACUCUANAAGGCCCCUGAGGCGCCCA